AAACGUAGUCCAACAACGAAAGAGCCCUGAAGCUCAAGCGGAGCCCGCUGGCCGCAGGGGCCGCACCACGCCCCAGACCCUGGAGUUUCCGGGUGCGCAGACCCUUGUCGUCAGCAGAGGCUGCCGCUGCGCGUCCCCUAGGCGCGGAAGAGGCGGCUGGUGGUCCCUGAUGGCAAGGUGAAGUCGAGGCAGUAAUCGGGAACCCAGGUUUUAUACAUUACGAAGGCACGUUUCCAUUUCUCCUGGGCAAAUAUUUAGAAGAAAAGUUGCUGGGUAAUUGGUGGAGACAAGGUUUCGCCACAUUGACUGGGCUGGUCUCGAACUCCUGAGCUCAAGCAACCCGCCCUCCUUGACCUCCCAAAGUGCUAGGAUUACAGAGUCACCCAGGCUGGAAUGCAGUGGCAUGGUCAUGGCUCACCGCAGUCUUAAACUCCUGGGCCCAAGCAAUCCUCCCACUCAGCCUCCUGAGUAGCUGGGACUAGAGGCACAUGCAACCACAUGCAGCUAUUUUUUUUUAAAUUUUCUGUAGAGACAGGGUCUCACUGUGUUGCUCAGUUUGUCUCAAACUCCUGGGCUCAAGUGAUCCUCCUGCCUUGGCCUCACAAAGUACUAGGAUUACAGGCAUGAGUUACCACACUCAGCUGAACUCUACUCUUUAUGUUCAGGAAAGCACUGGAGAAGAGAGAAGACAAGAGAAACAGGUCCAUGGUGACAGGAGCCUAGGAAUAGAGCAGGCCUUCAGUCUUGGUGAAAAAAUAAAUGGUAUUCUAAGCCUUCCUUUGGACAUUAA